rnacentral:rRNA from 1 species
UACGGGGGGGGCUAGCGUUGUUCGGAAUUACUGGGCGUAAAGGGCUCGUAGGCGGCCAACUAAGUCGGACGUGAAAUCCCCUCGGCUUAACCGGGGAACUGCGUCCGAUACUGGAUGGCUUGAGAUUGGGAGAGGGAUGCGGAAUUCCAGGUGUAGCGGUGAAAUGCGUAGAUAUCUGGAGGAACACCGGUGGCGAAGGCGGCAUCCUGGACCAACACUGACGCUGAGUGAGCGAAAGCCAGGGGAGCAAACGGG